rnacentral:rRNA from 1 species
AACGGUCCUAAGGUAGCGAAAUUCCUUGUCGGGUAAGUUCCGACCUGCACGAAUGGCGUAAUGAUGGCCAGGCUGUCUCCACCCGAGACUCAGUGAAAUUGAACUCUCUGUGAAGAUGCAGUGUACCCGCGGCAAGACGGAAAGACCCCGUGAACCUUUACUAUAGCUUGACACUGAACAUUGAGCCUUGAUGUGUAGGAUAGGUGGGAGGCU